rnacentral:lncRNA from 1 species
AAUUUUUCUAAACAUUUAGGUGGUAUUUUGAGAACUGAGAAUAAAUGGUUUUAUAGGCUUCAGUAGUCCUAACAAAAUAGCAAACUACCCAGCUUUAUGGUUAAAUGACCUUUUUGCUUUUUUCAGGUGUGUAGUAUGCAUGUGUGAUUUUGAGUCAAGGCAGCUACUUAGAGUGUUACCCUGUAACCACGAGUUCCAUGCCAAGUGUGUUGACAAGUGGCUUAAGGCAAAUCGUACCUGCCCAAUUUGCCGAGCUGAUGCUUCAGAAGUACAUCGGGAUUCAGAAUGACCAACCUAAGAGCACAAAUUUAGUUUGGGUGUUCCUCAUCACGUGUAUAUACGGACUAUCCAUUGAACUUAAUCUGUGUGGCUUCCAGCCCUCCCUUUACCAAAAGGGUCAAUGGACCUUUCUUUGCACUGUGUGACUUAAUCAACUAUAAAAGCUUACAAUUAGUCUUCACAAUUAUGGGAUUGUUAUACUAACCGUGUGAUUGGAACUCCAAAGACUUUUUCUUUAGCUUAAUUUUGUGUGUGCACUAACAUUCCCUGGUUUUUGUGUGAUCAUUCCGAGUGUUGCUGCAAGAUUACCGUGGACGUGAUCUUUUAGCAUGUGCUUUUAUAAAAAGUGGUAGCUCCAGAUGAUAUAGCAAUCUACCUUCUAUAGAGCCUUCAGAAACUGUGAGUGGAAGUGAAUGCAGUAUGUGAUUGGUGACAAUGGUAAGUGUGUCUGCGUGAGAGUGUGCAACUACUUGUGUGAGGGCAUGGUAGCUGACGUGUGUAUGAGAUCCUAUAUACCAGCAUGUACCGAGAAUGUGUGUGUAGUUUUAAUUAUGCUGCAAUGUAUAAUCUGGUGUGUUAUUUAAACAGCACUAGUACUGUACACUGGUUCCCCUUGUGUUUGCUGUUGCACACUGAUUGCUAAGGGUGCGUCAAUUAUAAGCAUCGGAUACUCCAGCCCUUCCCUCCCGAUGAAUGGAAUGAGAAAAGCCUUCUCCUUUGCUUCAGGCAGCUGUCACCUUCUCUUCACUGGUGGUCCUAAGUGGGCCACUUAAGAAAAAGAGUGUAACAGAUUCUCACUCCAUGACCUAAUUAUUUUUAUUCUGUUGUGAAAAAGAAAAUUUUUAAUCUCCAACUUGCUAUUUCCAAAAAGAAGGUGCAAUAUCAUACAUCAUCAGUUAGCAAUAUUAGCAUUUCAAUCAAUGAUUUGAAUGUUGAUACUUUCUUGUUUUUUCCUUUACAUUUCCAGUAAGCUUCUUACAGAAAGUACCUGUGAUAUUUUUUUUUUAAUGUUUAGAUUUGUAGUCUAUUCUGAAGAUAUUUGAGUAAUAUAUUUCUAAGAAUACCACUGGUCCCAUGAAGUCUCACCUCCUUGACUUCCACCAGAACAAAAUCUGUUCGCUAACUCAGCUUGAUUUCUGAUAUAUGUUCUUUGUUCAACCUCCCAUAGGCAACUAAACUGUUUUAAGAAAACACUAUUUCUGUUCAUACUCACUCACUUGCCACACUGCAGUUCUGCAACUUGUUCUUCCCUCAGUAAAUGUGCUUCUCAUCUCCACCCUUGUUUCAGGAUGGAGCAAGUGCUGUGACAGCUAGCUUUGAUGUCUUACUGCUUUUCCUUUUAGUUUUUGUUUGAGAAAAGUUUAACGCAAUGGGUGUCCAGAAUACUUGCAGUAUAAAUGAAGAUUUCAUUUUUGUAUAAAAAAAUAAUGCUGUCAAACAGGAAUUGGUCUUCAUUUAGUUGAUCUGUGAGGUUUUUUUAUGUAGGUUCAUUGAGCAUAUUUCAGAUUAUUUAAAGUCGCUUUUCCAGCAAUAUGUAGAUUUCUUUCUUGUUCUUUCAGUACAUUCAGCAUUGCCCGCCUCUUCCUGCAUUGCUUUGUUUGCAGGAGCACAUGCUGUGUUCUUCCAGUGGGGACUGUGAUGACUUACUGUCAGCCUCACUCCAGUCUCAGUUGGCCCUGGGCUAGUUUUGUACCCAGACAGUGUUAACUAAUUUACUGCCAUGCUGCUUGCCCUCCCUUGAAGUCUCUACAAGCUCAUCACAGCCUAGAGUUCAGUAAAGUCAAUUCACAUAGAAGCACAAUUUUGUCCUCUUCCAGACACUGUUGCCUCUAUUUAGUCAAAUAGGAUUUUGUCUACUUUCUAUUGGCCCCUAGAUUUGCCAGUGCAUCAGAAAUACACUUAUUAAAUAGUGGUAAAAUGCACAUGUUGUUUUUAAAUCAUUAAAAGGUGUGUUAAAGACCAAAAUUAUUGGCAUACAAUAAUCAGCUACAAUAAAAAUCACAUACAGUUUAAUCUUUAUUUUUUA